AUUGAACGCUGGCGGCAUGCUUUACACAUGCAAGUCGAACGGCAGCACGGGCUUCGGCCUGGUGGCGAGUGGCGAACGGGUGAGUAAUAUAUCGGAACGUACCCAGAAGUGGGGGAUAACGUAGCGAAAGUUACGCUAAUACCGCAUACGAUCUAUGGAUGAAAGCAGGGGACCGCAAGGCCUUGUGCUCCUGGAGCGGCCGAUAUCUGAUUAGCUAGUUGGUGAGGUAAAGGCUCACCAAGGCGACGAUCAGUAGCUGGUCUGAGAGGACGACCAGCCACACUGGAACUGAGACACGGUCCAGACUCCUACGGGAGGCAGCAGUGGGGAAUUUUGGACAAUGGGCGAAAGCCUGAUCCAGCAAUGCCGCGUGAGUGAAGAAGGCCUUCGGGUUGUAAAGCUCUUUUGUCAGGGAAGAAACGGUAGAGGCUAAUAUCCUUUGCUAAUGACGGUACCUGAAGAAUAAGCACCGGCUAACUACGUG
rnacentral:rRNA from 1 species